rnacentral:rRNA from 1 species
GUUUGACCUCGGAUCAGGUAGGGAUACCCGCUGAACUUAAGCAUAUCAAUAAGCGGAGGAAAAGAAACCAACAGGGAUUGCCUCAGUAACGGCGAGUGAAGCGGCAGCAGCUCAAAUUUGAAAUCUGUUCCUUUCGGGGACCGAGUUGUAAUUUGUAGAGGGUGCUUCGGGGUCGGCUCCGGUCUAAGUUCCUUGGAACAGGACGUCACAGAGGGUGAGAAUCCCGUACGUGGCCGGCCGUCUUCCCCACGUGAAGCCCCUUCGACGAGUCGAGUUGUUUGGGAAUGCAGCUCUAAAUGGGAGGUAUAUUUCUUCUAAAGCUAAAUAUCGGCCGGAGACCGAUAGCGCACAAGUAGAGUGAUCGAAAGAUGAAAAGCACUUUGAAAAGAGAGUCAAAAAGUACGUGAAAUUGUUGAAAGGGAAGCGCUUGCGACCAGACUUGCCCGCAGUUGCUCAACCGGCCUUCUGGCUCGGUGCACUCUUCUGCGGUCAGGCCAGCAUCGGUUCGGGCGGUCGGAUAAAGGCCUCGGGAAUGUGGCUCCCUUCGGGGAGUGUUAUAGCCCCUGGUGCAAUGCGGCCAGCCUGGACCGAGGACCGCGCUUCGGCUAGGAUGCUGGCGUAAUGGUCGUAAGCGGCCCGUCUUGAAACACGGACCAAGGAGUCUAACAUCUAUGCGAGUGUUUGGGCGUCAAACCCAUGCGCGUAAUGAAAGUGAACGGAGGUGGGAACCCUCGGGUGCACCAUCGACCGAUCCCGAUGUCUUCGGAAGGAUUUGAGUAAGAGCAUAGCUGUUGGGACCCGAAAGAUGGUGAACUAUACCUGAAUAGGGUGAAGCCAGAGGAAACUCUGGUGGAGGCUCGCAGCGGUUCUGACGUGCAAAUCGAUCGUCAAAUUGGGUAUAGGGGCGAAAGACUAAUCG